rnacentral:rRNA from 1 species
UACGGAAGGCAGCAGUGGGGAAUAUUGCACAAUGGGCGAAAGCCUGAUGCAGCUAUGCCGCGUGUAUGAAGAAGGCCUUAGGGUUGUAAAGUACUUUCAUCGGGGAGGAAAAACAAAACUAAUAAUUUUAUUUCUUGACGUUACCCGAAAAAGAAGCACCGGCUAACUCCGUGCCAGCAGCCGCGGUAAUACGGAGGGUGCUAGCGUUAAUCAGAAUUACUGGGCGUAAAGAGCACGUAGGUGGUUUUUUUAAGUCAGAUGUGAAAUCCCUGGGCUUAACCUGGAACUGCAUUUUGAAACUGAAAUACUAGAGUAUCGUAGAGGGAGGUAGAAUUCUAGGUGUAGCGGUGAAAUGCGUAGAUAUCUGGAGGAAUACCUGUGGCGAAAGCGGCUUCCUAAACGAAUACUGACACUGAGGUGCGAAAGCGUGGGGAGCAAACAGGGAUUAGAUACC